rnacentral:lncRNA from 1 species
UUUUUCAUUGUUCAUGAAAUUUUUGGAACCCCUGCAGGGUCGAAUCAUUGUUUCUCUCUCAUCGCAUAAAACCAGAAAUUUCACCUCAAAUUGCAAAUUUCUCGAAUUUCUCAUGAAACCUUAGAGCAACAAGGCCCUGUAGAGAGAGAUUUUUCUCCAAUAUCAUUAAAAGUCACUUUCGAAAAUCCUAAUCAUCAUCAAGCUACUUUUGAUCGGCU